rnacentral:rRNA from 1 species
GAGUUUGAUCCUGGCUCAGGAUGAACGCUGGCGGCGUGCUUAACACAUGCAAGUCGAGCGAAGCAUUUAAGACGAUCUCUUCGGAUUGAGUCUUAUAUGACUGAGCGGCGGACGGGUGAGUAACGCGUGGGUAACCUGCCUCAUACAGGGGGAUAACAGUUAGAAAUGACUGCUAAUACCGCAUAAGCGCACAGGGCUGCAUGGCCUGGUGUGAAAAACUCCGGUGGUAUGAGAUGGACCCGCGUCUGAUUAGCUAGUUGGAGGGGUAACGGCCCACCAAGGCGACGAUCAGUAGCCGGCCUGAGAGGGUGAACGGCCACAUUGGGACUGAGACACGGCCCAGACUCCUACGGGAGGCAGCAGUGGGGAAUAUUGCACAAUGGGGGAAACCCUGAUGCAGCGACGCCGCGUGAAGGAAGAAGUAUCUCGGUAUAUAAACUUCUAUCAGCAGGGAAGAAAAUGACGGUACCUGACUAAGAAGCCCCGGCUAACUACGUGCCAGCAGCCGCGGUAAUACGUA